rnacentral:rRNA from 1 species
UACGAAGGGGGCUAGCGUUGCCCGGAAUUACUGGGCGUAAAGGGCGCGUAGGCGGAUAGUUUAGUCAGAGGUGAAAGCCCAGGGCUCAACCCUGGAAUUGCCUUUGAUACUGGCUAUCUUGAGUUCGGGAGAGGUGAGUGGAACUCCGAGUGUAGAGGUGAAAUUCGUAGAUAUUCGGAAGAACACCAGUGGCGAAGGCGACUCACUGGCCCGAUACUGACGCUGAGGCGCGAAAGCGUGGGGAGCAAUCAGG